UUCACGAACGACAUUGUUCGCCCUUGACACUUUUAACGACAACAUUGGAUAUUUAUCCAAACUUUUAUUCCCUUCCAAACUGAACUCUAGAAUCGGUUUUCUUUCUCAAAUAAAAAACCCUCGUCACUCUCCGAAACCUUAAAACCCAACAAUGGAAGGUUUCCUCGAAUCUCGAUUUGUUGAAUUUAAGGUUCUGUUUUCCAACACCGGCGUUGCCUGUUUCGACCGAAUCUGGAUUGGUUGAUAGAUACAGUGCUCAGUGUUGUCACAAAGUAAAAUCAAAGACUUGAUUUUUGCACGGAAGAACAACCAUUGUGCAGAAAACAUCACCACCGCUGCCGGAGAAUGCAACUAACUCCAGAGUUUCCCAUUCAUAGCAGUGUGGCCACAUGUUGAUGGUGGUGGUAGCAGUUCGAAAGGAGGGAACCCCCAAGUACAUUGGUGUAAGGUUGAUUUUGUUCCACGGUGACACUGCACAUAAAGGGAAUUUUACAGCUUCAGAAACUCCUUCAUCCGCUGGUAAUUGUGAACAUAAGAGCAUCAUAAGGCUUACUUUAUCAAACUCUGGGCCACCAAUGAUGUUCUUGUCAAAUUCAAGCUGUGGUUGUUACACGAAUAACAAACUAUGAUACUUGGCAGAGCAUUGCUAAUGUUCUAUCGGUUUCCCGCUUCUACACAUAAUCUUUUAGAUGGGCCGGUUUGAUGGAGAUCCUCUUGGGCCUGAUAUUCUCAGUACGUUUGCUAUCAAUACCCCCUGGCGGAAAAAUGUCCUUGUCCUCAAGGACAUAAGCAGCAGCCAAAUCAUUCCAGUCUUCCUAAGUCGAAUCUUCCGGCGACAGACCGUUCCACUGAACGAGCACCUGGCGUGAUGGUGGGGAGGUGGACGCAUCCAAUUUCCAGUCCAAUAUAGUGAGCGGGGCAACGAUGGGGUCGUUUCCCUUAGUGGUCUCGGGUAAAAAGCCAGGAGUGGUGGGAGUCUCGCCGGGGUGGAGCUUCAACAGUGAAACGUGAAAAACCGGGUGGAUACGAGAGUGUGGUGGUAAUUCAAGGCGGUACGCAACUGGACCUAUGCGUUCUUGGAUCUUGAAUGGGCCAAAAUAGCGCUUGGAUAAUUUGCAGUAGCCCGGAGCGAGAGAGGAUUGACGAUAGGGUCGUAGGCGCACAUAGACCCAAUCUCCAGGGGAGUACGAGACCUCACGGCGGUGGGUAUCUGCUGCCUUCUUCAUGUUGUCCUGGGCCUUGCGGAGGCGAGUCUGGAGCACGGAGCGAAUAUGCUGGUGAUUCGCGAGGAGGGUGUCCACGGCUUCCACCUGAGAGGAACCCUGCAAAUAUUGAGGGAUGGAGGGAGGGGGCUUUCCAAAUGUGACCUCGAAGGGGGAGAAACCGGUGCCUGAGUGGAAUGAGGUGUUAUAGGACCACUCGGCAAGGGCUAGGAAGCGCGUCCAGGAGUGGGGGUGGUCAUGCGCGAAGGCCCGAAGAUACUGUUCGACCACCCGAUUGAGAACCUCGGUUUGGCCGUCCGUUUCCGGGUGAUAGGCUGUACUCAUGCAAAGUUUGGUGCCCAUUAGCCGGAAUAAUUCCCUCCAGAAUUUGCUAACAAAGAUGGGGUCUCUGUCGGAAACCAGACUCCGAGGGAGCCCAUGGAGUUUGCAGACAAGAUUGAAGAAGAGAGUAGCAACCGAAUGAGCUGUAUAGUGAGCGGGGAGGGCGCCCAAAUGAAUGCCUUUUGAAAACCUAUCUACAAUGACCAGGAUGGUGGAAUGGCCGUGUGAAGGUGGAAGGCCGCAGAUGAAGUCGAGGGAUAGCUCUUCCCAAGGGGUUGCCGGAAUUGGUAAUGGGUGCAGCAAGCCGGCAGGUUUCUUGGUUUCAUACUUAGUCUGCAGGCAUGUAGUGCAAUGGGCGAUAAACUUGCGGAUGUCCUGUCGCAUGGAUGGCCAGUAGAAGUUCUCUUGGAUUCGGUGGAGUGUCUUGGCAAAACCCAAAUGGCCGCCAACCGGAGUGGAGUGGAAUUCGUCCAUAAGAGCAGGAAUGAAGGAGCAAUCUGAGGGGAGCCAGAGCUUCUUAUGGAGGAAAAUCAUUUCGCGGUUGGUCGUGUAACCAGGGUGAAGGUCUGGACGUUGGAGGAUGUCUUGUAGGAGAGUGGUAUUGGACUGUGAAGAGUGCAGUGAUUGGCACAGCUGAUCCAAGAAGUCAAAAUUUGGUAAAGAAAGGGAGAGGAAGGUCCCCUGAGUUGGGAUUCGAGAGAGGGCGUCAGCAACGAUGUUUGUCGCGCCGGAUUUGUAUUCAAUAUCAUAAUCAUACCCGAGGAGCUUUGUGAGGUAAGUCUGUUGUUCAGGGGUCUGAAUCGUUUGAUUCAUGAGAUCUCUGAGACUUUUGUGGUCUGUUCUGAUGAUGAAGUGACUCCCCAGCAGGUAGUGGCGCCACUUGCGAACGGCCACGGUGAUUGCAUGGAGUUCACAAACAUAUGUGGAUGCUCGCCGGAGGCGGUCACAGAACACCUUACUGUGGAAUGCAAUUGGGUGGGCUCGUUGGAUCAAGACAGCGCCCAUGGCGGUCCCAGAUGCAUCCGUUUCAAGGAUGAAAGGUGCAGUGAAGUCUGGUGGAGCGAGGACGGGUGCCUGAGUCAUGGCCUGUUGGAGUUGAACGAAUGCCGCCUGGGCAUCGGAGUUCCAUUGAAACGCAUCAGUGCGGAGGAGUGAGGUGAGGGGGGAGGCGAUGGAGGCAUACCCGCGAAUAAAACGGCGGUAGAACCCCGUAAGGCUCAAGAAGCCACGCAAUUCGGACACCAUGGAUGGAGUAGGCCAGGAAAGCAUUGCUUGAAUUUUGUCUGGGUCCGGGGCAAUGCCUUUGUCAGAAACAAUAUGGCCCAGAUACUGAAGGGUGCGGCGAGCAAAUAAGCAUUUAGUGCGGCGGAGAUAAAAUUCACCCUGAGAGAGUGUAUUGAAGACCGCCGCCAGGUGCUGGACAUGUGUCGGAAGUGUGGGACUGUAAAUGAGGAUGUCAUCAAAGAAAACCGCAGCGAAUCGCCUGAGAAAAGGCUUGAGAAGUUCAUUCAUUGUAGCUUGGAAGGUGGCCGGCGCGUUACAUAGACCAAACGGCAGCACUCGGAAUUCAUAGUGGCCGUG